rnacentral:lncRNA from 1 species
UCCUUGGCUUUCCCAGGUUUUCUUACACAGGCUAAAAAUCCUUCCAGCCUGAGACCAUCACUUCUCACAGUUCAGUCUUUGUUCCUCACGUGUUUUCAGGUGUGGUGUUGUCCGUGGUUCAACCCGCAGGAUUAGGGGCCAUUUCUGGCAUCCUUGUUUAUUUCACAGUUGUUGGUGUGACCCAGGGGCAGUUGAACCACGGACGGAGCUGAGUUUAAGCUGUUAUGCAGGCGUCCCGUAAGCUUCUCCAUCAGCCAGUCCCCCCUCCUUCCUGCCGCAAGCUGGAGAGGAGCCAUGGCCGCUGCUGAGGGCAAGGCGGGGGUGAAGCGCCGAGCCCAGCCGCCUUCCACAGCCUGGCCGGAGGAGGAGGGAGGAGAGAAAUGUGAUAGAGGUGCAGAAACUGAAAGGAAUUAUCCGUUCUAUUAUAGUUACUACUUACAUCAAAUCUUCCAGAGCUUCAUUUGUCACAAAUUAUUUCACUGCAGGACUGUGUUCAUGCUGCCACUCAGUGGUAGCAAAGAGAUAGCUCAUCUCUGUCUAUCGAUUCCAUCUGCAUGCAACAGCUGCAGAUAAAGGACUAGACACUCUUUAACCAGGCAGCCAGCUGGACUAAAGCCCACAAAAAAACAACUACUCUAAACUUCUCAGUGAUAAGAGAAAAAAUAAGAAUCUGCUCCAGCAACAUUACUUUCCAGUUCUUCCUUCACAGCAACAGCCCAGAAAGCUAAUAUAACUGCAAUCAACGGCCCACAUCCAUGAAGAACCUAUCUAUAGAAUCUCCAUGACAUGUAUUGUUAUAUACGAUGGCAAUGGCUAAGUUUUCCAAUAAACGUGUGACUCAAGUUGAUACA